AAAUAUUUCGCGAAAGAUUGGAAAUUGCUUGGCAAUAAAAAGAAACACGACGGCGAGUGGCUGGAUAAAAAAACGUGACGAAUUUACAUACGCCGGACACGAUUCAAUAUUAUCCCGUUUAGGGCGUUUAGGAAUUUAAUCCUGCUUCUUGUAACAUUUCGCGUUAAUAUAUCGUGAUGUUGUAGGCUUCAUCGGUCCCUGAAAUUAGCCCGAGGCAAUAAAUGCCAUUGGCAAGAAGCGUGUUACUUGUCGCGCUUCUUGCUCUCUAAAAUCCAUUAGAGUGAAAGGGACAGCCAAAGAAAUUAGCUCACAGUGUAAAUUGCACGAUGAUGAAACCUAUUUACGUUUCCGCUAAUGAAACUCUCGUUAACCAAGGGCAUCUUUAAGCUAGGAUAUCGUUCUGAACGAACGCAAAAAAGAAAAAGAGAAAAGAAAAGAAACAAAUUCAUUCGGCUGUAACGAGGCAUCCUCGGCCGAAAGAAAUUCCCGACGGAGAAAGGAGAAGCGAGGUGAAAGGAGGGAACAUUAACAGGGACGUCAGUUCAUCAGGAAAUAUUUUCAUUCGCGAGCGUUUCCGUUAACGAAGCUCAACACUAUUAAGCCCGACGCGGCCCUCAAACGCUGCAGGACAAAAGCGCUUAAAGCUUGUGUCGCUUUCAUCAGCUACCUCCCGUUCCGCGAUACAAAAAAGAAGACGAAGAGGAGGAGGAUGAGAUUAAAACAAAAAAAAAAAAAAAAAACAGGUGGAAAUAGAAAACAACCGCUGAAAAAUGCCCCUUCAAGCUUUUUUUUUUCCAGAAGUCAGACGAAAGGGAAAGAGAAGAAGAGAGGAUGAAGCAUGAAUAGAAAGGAGUAGAAUGAUAUAACGAGUCCAAUUUCACGGAAGUUGGUGGCAAGUUGGGGUAGCAGGAGACGGUCGGGUAUUUGGAAUGGAAACAAAAGGAAGAAAAAAAAACUCCUUAUCUGGGGAACUUCGCGUUUGCCGGAAUCGGCGCGACGUUGGCAAAGAAGACGAUAAGAAGCUCUGAAAAAAGAGAAAGAAAAGGAGAGACGAAGAGAAAAAAAAAAGAAAGUUGAAUUCGUCCGCGAUUAAAAUGACGAACGCGACGAGAUAGAAGGGAAUACCUCGAUAAA